ensembl:lncRNA
GCUGGGAGGGAGAACCCAAGUGCACUUCCCUAGCUGCUCCUAUGCAAGUGCAAAUCCCAGAUAGCUCCUAAUUUCUACUGCCUGCACAGACAUGAUGCUGUUACACACGUGUAAAGCUGCUUUGCAGUUGUAAAACCAGAAAUAGUCAGCUCCUGAGAAAAUCACUGACUGAAGAAACAGUGUGGUACUUGAUGCUGUUGCACUGGACUCUCACCUGGAUCCAACAGGUUUAUCUGAAGUCAGAGCAGCACCAGUGUCCCAUUGGUGUAAGGAAGUACAGUGGCUAUCGUUUGCUGCUUCCUGCCAUGUGUUCCAUCCUGUGCUGCCUUGGCUCUACAGGCAAAACAGGAGCAAGCAGAAAGGAGCUAAUUUGAGAUCACGCUGGCAAUCCAGCUAUCAGUCAUAAAAUGUGUUCAAACUUGUUAAGCGCUGAGUGAAUUAUGACUUUGUUACCAGCAAAAUGGCCAGCAUUACAGAGAUCGAAUGCUAGUGGACAAGAAACAAGAGACCACCGGGAAAAGAGGCAGACUUUCUCAUCAGCCAAGGACUGCUUUAACUGCUGCAAUUGCAGUAAAAAUACUUAAUUUGACCAUGGAUCUAUGUUAUUUAGUUCUAUUUGUUUGUAAAAGGAAGGAUAACAGUCUGUUUUCAACUCUGUAUUAAGAUGAGCUGAUGUCUGCUAUGAUAUCAUAGACCAACAAAAUGAAAUAACUUUCAGAGAAAAUAUUGACUUUCUUUGUCAGAGUCGAAGACAGCAGACAGAAAAUAGAAGAAUAAUGUGAAAUAAGAGAAAAUAUCAGAGUAGUCAUACCCAGACAAAAUUUAGAUGCAUUCAGGGAGGCUCAAGAAAAAGAUCUUUGUCAUUAUUAUUAUUAUCAAUAAAACAGAAAACAGUUCUUAAAAGAUGAAACCCUGGAACAAUGCAGUAAGACAGUUCUCACAACUGAUGAAUAUCAAAGUGUGCCAUGAUUUCAUUGUCUUCAGAUAUGUCCAUGUAAUUUCAGGAGCUUUGCACAAAUUUCAGAGGGAGGCUGUGAGUCACACAGAGAAACAGGGGACAGAAUCUGUAUGCAUGACAGUUCAUAACUUUUGCUGCCACUGUACAGCCCAGCAACUUGAAAUAUUGUGGAUCUCCUCCCAGCUAAGGCCAUAAUCAAAUAAACUCACACCCUUGGAGUAUCAGUUUGUCCUCAAGACUUUUUCCCAUGAUCCAACUGACAAGGACAAUUAAUCAGGGCUGUGUCCACUGUAGUCAGCAAUGUGGCACCAAUAUAAAGUUGGUGGCAGGUCCACAUCAAGCCUCUUUUUUUUUUGCAUUAACUUUAUUCAUCACACAGUAUUAUUGCUCACGUACCACCUCCUAUUAUUUUAAAUGAAUGAACAUUAUUGAGAAUGUUGAUUUGAUUCAACUCAGUAGACUUUAACAGAAAUUUCUACCAAAUCCUACUGAUUCAUUCUAUUCUGAUCAAAGAGAUUGUAAUAGUGAUGAUUAUGAAGAUUUCUCUCUGUCCCAGAGACCCCCCCAAACUUCCUUCUGUGCAUUCUGAAUAUCUCUUCUAGGGUUUGGUAUUACCUAUCUGUUGUUCUAAUUUACAGUAUUUGCUAUGAAAAAUGGUUCACCUGAUGUUAUUCAUUUUCAAUCCAGUGCAUUUAAAUAACAGCACAUCCUCUCCCUCUGAUAGCAGACUUGAAGGAGAUGAAAUGUCUCCAUGCGGUCUAGAGGUUUUGAAUAUUAAUCUUUCUUUACUAUUCAUAGGAAUUGAUUCAUUACAGUAUAUUCUAAUUACAGAGGUUACAUUUGCCUUCAGAAAUCGUGCCAGAUAAAGAACUGUGUUGAGAAUCUGAUUCUUUAGUGUAUAACUUGUGAACACUAAAUUUACAUAGGUCACUUUGAAAGUAAUGCCACUUAUUUAUUUCCACACAAAUAAAAUCUUAUUAAAC